AAGCCGGCAUGUGGGCGGUGAGAGGUUUUAUUCUGGUUACAGGACAGGCGUUGACAAAGCCCCGGACAUUCCAGUGAUGGCCACCAGAAGCGCCGUCGCAGGAAGUCCCGGGUCCUCUGAAUGCCGGGAUGGCAGGUGAGCCGGGAAGCAUGGCCCCACUGGAGCACGUCUGAACGGAGGUGUGACGGGACAAACAGGCGGUCAGGUGGACAGGAACUGGGAGCUGGCUGGUCCACAGUGGCGGUUCGUCUCCUGUGUCUCCCAGGGUAUGGAAGCGAUGAGGCAGGAGGCUGGGAUGAUGGUGGAAGGCUUGACCAUCUCAUUGGGACUGUAGAACUUCCCACUCUACCAGUCCAGCUUCCGGGUAGGAGUUUCAUCACGCCCGCCGCGAUAACCGUUUCCCAGAUCACAGAAAACAACGUACUCCAGGGCAGAGAUGUUAAUCUCGCGGGAUUAUUGUAACCCUCCCCAGCCAUAGAGCGCCAAUGGGUUGAUUGCGGUGACUUGUCCGUUCUUUUAAAAACUACAGUUCCUAGUUCCCAUUUUACUGUCUCUCUUUUGUUCACAUUUCUAGUCUAGGAACAGGCAAGGGCCUCUCAUACUGAUACAAGGUGUUAUCUCCCACAUUCUGCCAUUGUUAUGUCUCAACAAGGUUCAACCGACCUGGUCCUCCGGGACAUAGCCAGGGCCUUAUCAAGGCUGAGAGUGCGUCUGUUCACGUGUUAUUCAUGUAUCCCCUUUUUGUAUAAUACUCGCCCCAACCCUUUGGUUCUACGAGAAGAGGGUUCGACAGCCAAGGAACAAGUCAAACGGCUCCUCAAUGGGUCCACUAUAGAUUAUUCAACCUAAGUCUGUAUCUCGCUGUAUUACAUCCUGGAAUAAACCAUCUAUUCAACCCUCUGAUCCAACCUGUCAAGUUGCUUUGAUUUCGACUUCAAGAAUUACUACCACGACGAAAAAUACACAACGCAGAGUCUGUCCGAACAGUUUAGAAAUAAGCUGAAAUCUAACAGUAUCUUCAGCGACAUCAUGUUCCAAGAUAUC
rnacentral:lncRNA from 1 species